CGACUGGUAGGAGCUACGGAAAACAACAGUUCUCCUCCAUGUGAAAAAAAAGAAAAAGAAGCAGUGCCCAGUGAGAAAGAAUGCAGGUGACAGUGGAACACAAAGAAAGGCACUUCUUGGAAACUGCCUGGAAGGCUACAGCUUGGAUGGCAGAGAAAGAGGAUUAACAAGAGUGGCUAGUUGGCACCACAAGACUAAUAAAGAAACAGUGUGCGGUGAUCACUUCUCUGGAGAGGAGUUUAACCUUGGGAAGGAUUGCACCAGUGGCAGCUGAAGAUGCUGGUUCCUUUGAGAAAGGGCUGCAGAAAUUAGCCUAGGGUCGGACUCACCAAGAGAGACAACCUAAAUAAAUAUACUUGGAAGUUGUUCAGGCCAACCUGGUGGGAGCAGAUGUCACCAGGAGCUGGGGGCUGGGACAUGAGCCAAGGUCGAGGAAGAAGUCAGGAAAACCCUAGUGACAGAUCUGCGGAGCCCGCGGCCAUGUCUGUUAUAAAAACGAAACACUCGCUUCCAACAUUUACAGCCAGCUUUGCUGCAUCUGAGGAGAGUUGGAAGGAAGAUGAAAGGGAUGAAAAAUGCCUGCCAAGCAGAUAGCAGCCUUGCCUGCCACGUCUGAGAUGGAGCAGUUAGAGCCCCGGUGUUUUGCUGAAUUCCCUGCGUGCUAUUCACGAGCUCCCUCAGAAAGCCGACAAAAGAGCCUUGUCAACAGUCACUGACAGCAGCAGGCGGAAAGGUUUUUGUAGGAAAGAGGCAUCUUUGAAACCAAAGAAAACAAAGCCAGGACCAGGCUAAAGAUUCUGCAGACCUUGACUGCAAGUGGAAGACACUUCUUCAUUCCUUUCCCAUCCCCUCCU
rnacentral:lncRNA from 1 species